AGGCAGCCCCUUUGCCUUUGCUAUGACAAGGGAGGCGUUUAACUGCUCGUAAAGCAAUAUCUUUUGCUCUUCAGACUUGCUGAGAUUUUCGUUGAAGCUGGUCUAGUAAGCCUAAGUACAUU